rnacentral:lncRNA from 1 species
UUGAGGUGGCGUUAGAUCUUCUCGUUAUAGGGAUGACUCAUAUUAUGGAAGUGGUGGAGGGUCAGAUAGUUCCCUCCUGUCUUCUCUGGCUUACUGGGAGAUGAGUCUCUCUAAAAUCUCGAUGAUCCGAUCGACAUCCUCUCAAAGCGACCCGACUCGAGUGAUGCCAUUCAGUAAAGGACCUCAUCUCCUCGUGUCUUUAUACUCAUUUUUCACAAGAAAAGGUUGAAAAAUAGUUCGUAUUUGGUGUUUUUAUCUU